rnacentral:lncRNA from 1 species
GAAAACGUCAAAAUGACGUCAAUUAUCGUCAAAUCAUGAACGAUAUGCAACUAAGAAUCAGAGAGACGUUAUCAUAGUAUCGUGUAAAGUAAAAUUUGAAUUAACUAUAUUACCAGCUGCUUCAAAUAAGACGAUAAUACUACAAAAGUGUUAUUCUUUCAAUUUUUUAUGAAUGACCUUUGACCCCAAUUUAAAAACAAAUGCACCAUAUUUCACUUUUAC